rnacentral:misc_RNA from 1 species
GGGUUAUAAUUUUGUUAAUGGGUAUAACCCCCCUGCUUCAGAUUCUUCACAUAUUGGUUGUUUUACUGGAGAGAAUGAAAUUAUGAAUGGUGUGGGAAGGCUUUGCACUAUGAUUAGUUCAUACCCGUCAAAACGCCCAACUGGUAGAGUUGUUGCCAUCAUUGAGAGAUCCCUUCGGCGUGAUGCUGUUGUUGGUUUUCUAAAUGUCAAGCAGUGGUUUUACUAUAGGGAAGGUUUUAUAAAAGAUGCAAAAAAGAAGAGAAAUUCAUCAUCUAUCUCUGCCUGUGAGUACAUUCAACUUACACCGACUGAUCCAAAAUUUCCUAAAAUGAUG